CUGAGCUCAGAGGCAUCUUCAUCAUGGCCUGGACCUCUCUUCUUCUACCUCUUCUCUCUCUGUAUGCAGGUUCUGUGACCAGCUAUGAGCUGAUCCAACCACCUUCAGCAUCAGUCACUCUGGGAAAUACUGUCUCACUCUCUUGUGUUGGAGAUGAAUUACCAAAAAGAUAUGCUUAUUGGUAUCAACAAAAGCCAGACCAGUCCAUUGUGAGAGUGAUAUAUGAGGAUACCAAGCGGCCCUCGGGCAUCUCUGACCGAUUCUCUGGGUCCAGCUCAGGGACAACAGCCACUCUGACAAUCCGUGACGCCCAGGCUGAGGAUGAGGCUGAUUAUUACUGUCAUUCGACAUAUAGUGAUGAUAAACUUCCACAGUGA